rnacentral:rRNA from 1 species
CACCAUGGGAGUUGGCCACGCCCGAAGUCGUUACCCUAACUUUUUUAGAGGGGGACGCCGAAGGCAGGGCUGGUGACUGGGGUGAAGUCGUAACAAGGUAGCCGUACUGGAAGGUGCGGCUGGAUCACCUCCUUU